rnacentral:misc_RNA from 1 species
AGUAGCGAAAAUGCGGGCAUACAAAUCUAGCUUUUUCUCUGAGCUUAUCAUCACAACUCGUCCAGCAUCAGUUGCAGCGAUAACCCAAAAUGUUCCAGAAAUUUUUUCUCUUUGCUUGCGUCUUGGCUGUGAUGGCCGUCGUCUACACCAACUCGGCACCAACUGAAGAUGAACCCGCUAAUUCCGACGAGCCGGGAGACCAGUGGCAGAAUCUCAGGGAGGAAUUGAAAGCUCAGAAGCUGCAAAUGUAGCUUCACGGCAAUUAAAAAUUCAGUGUGACAAGAGGUCGACCGGUGUGGAACCAAUCGGCGCAAAUAAUGGGGAAUUGAUUUACCUUGAUAGACAUGAUGUCGGUUGUCUUGGUAACGAAUUCCUCCAACGUUUUCAUUUCAUCAGGAGUGGUGAUUUCCAUUUCUACUACAGUUACACUUGUUGUCACUAUACUUUUUAACCUAAGCUAGUUGUGUGAGGGAGAUUCUCUUUAACUGCAUGACAUACAGUGGCUGUGGCCUAUGCUUCCUUGCUUAUUUUUUGAAAUAUCAAUUAUACGAAUUACUGACUUACCAAAUGUUAAUUGGUGAUGGCUGUAUACUUUCUAGGGAUGUUGAAUAAACAAAUAGAAUCAGC